rnacentral:ribozyme from 1 species
AGACAGAGAGGGAAGGAAAGAAAGAUAGAAAAAGAGAGAGAAAGAAAGGCAAUCUAACACGGAUGUGGG